AUUAUCAGCUGCCUAUCCUCCCUUAUGUAUUCAGUGCCUUCUGUGCUGCUGUUCUCUGUCUCUGGUGCUCCCAAAUACUUUUUGGCUGCUGAUGGCCUCCCUUCAGGAAGCUGACUGAGUACUGCCAGCUGGAUUGCCAAUUCUGCAGUGUUUCUUCACUUAGGCAGUCAGAUGACUGCUCCCUCGUGCCUGAAAAAAGCCAGCAGUUGAGAACCAGCUAAUGUACUGCAUACAUAAGCCUUGCUGUGUGUAGGGGCUUAUACCUCACAGACUGUCCUGAAACCCCUCUCUGGAGUCCAGCGCUUGUGUCUUUCCAUUUGUGCUCAGCUCCGUGCAGGUCUGCCUGCAGUUCAGGUAUUGAUUGCAUUGAUCUGAGUUGUGUAAUCCUAGAUGAUGCAAAUUCUUACAAUGCGGAACAGAAAGAAUAAAAGAAAAACUGUGUGGGCCCUAAUCCUUUCUCACAGGGUUUUGAAGGAUAAUCAACCAGUCCACAGGGAAGAUUUAGAAGAAAGGUCACAGAUAGUCAGCUUCAAGUGGCACACAUGCUUUCUGAUUGUGAAGCUGCUGCAGCUGAAGCACAAAAUGUGCUGAGCAGCCCUUUUCUCUAAUGGAGCUAAAGCUGGCCAGUACAGCUUCAUGAUAU